UACGAGAGGCCCAAACGUUAUUCGGAAUUACUGGGCUUAAAGAGUUCGUAGGCGGCGCGGAAAGUGGGGUGUGAAAGCCCUCGGCUCAACCGAGGAAUUGCGCUCCAAACUACCGUGCUUGAGGAAGCUAGAGGUGAGCAGAACUGAUGGUGGAGCGGUGAAAUGCGUUGAUAUCAUCAGGAAUACCGGAGGCGAAGGCGGCUCACUGGGGCUUUUCUGACGCUGAGGAACGAAAGCCAGGGUAGCGAACGGG
rnacentral:rRNA from 1 species